rnacentral:rRNA from 1 species
AGCAGCCGCGGUAAUUCCAGCUCCAAUAGCGUAUAUUAAAGUUGUUGCAGUUAAAAAGCUCGUAGUUGAAUUUCGGGAUCAGCAGGUUGGUCGUGCCUCUGGUAUGCACUGGUUUCGCUGAUUCCUCCUUUCUGAAGAACUGUAAUGUCAUUAAUUUGGUGUUGCAGGGAAACAGGACUGUUACUUUGAAAAAAUUAGAGUGUUUAAAGCAGGCUAACGCUUGAAUACAUUAGCAUGGAAUAAUGAGAUAGGACGUUUGAUCCUAUUUUGUUGGUUUCUAGGAUUGACGUAAUGAUUAAUAGGGAUAGUUGGGGGCAUUAGUAUUCAAUUGUCAGAGGUGAAAUUCUUGGAUUUAUUGAAGACUAACUACUGCGAAAGCAUUUGCCAAGGAUGUUUUCAUUAAUCAAGAACGAAAGUUAGGGGAUCGAAGACGAUCAGAUACCGUCGUAGUCUUAACCAUAAACUAUGCCGACUAGGGAUCGGAUGAUGUUAAUUUUUUAAUGACUCA